rnacentral:rRNA from 1 species
AACGAACGCUGGCGGCAGGCCUAACACAUGCAAGUCGAGCGGCAGCGGGUCCCCGCGAGGGGAUGCCGGCGAGCGGCGGACGGGUGAGGAACACAUCGGAAUCUGCCUGGUUGUGGGGGGAUAACGUAGGGAAACUUACGCUAAUACCGCAUGAGACCCUGAGUCGACGGACUGGGGGUGAAAGUGAGGGACCUUCGGGCCUCACGCGACCAGAUGAGCCGAUGUCGGAUUAGCAGUUGGCGGGGUAACGGCCCGCCAAGGCGACGAUCCGUAGCUGGUCUGAGAGGAUGAUCAGCCACACUGGGACUGAGACACCGGCCCAGACUCCUACGGGAGGCAGCAGUGGGGAAUAUUGCGCAAUGGGCGAAAGCCUGACGCAGCGACGCCGCGUG